rnacentral:misc_RNA from 1 species
GAACGCACAUUGCGCCCCCUGGUAUUCCGGGGGGCAUGCCUGUCCGAGCGUCAUUGCUUCCCUCAAGCACGGCUUGUGUGUUGGGCUCCGUCCCCCCGGGGACGGGUCCGAAAGGCAGCGGCGGCACCGAGUCCGGUCCUCGAGCGUAUGGGGCUUUGUCACCCGCUCUGUAGGCCCGGCCGGCGCCAGCCGACAACCAAUCAUCCUUUUUUCAGGUUGACCUCGGAUCAGGUAGGGAUACCCGCUGAACUUAAG